CAGAUUAUAGUUUAUAAAAAUAUUGGCUUUGGACGCCAAAGAUCGAUCCCUCGUAAUCUGA
rnacentral:tRNA from 1 species